GCCUGGGCUCCGGGGGCGGGGUGUGGUGUCCCCGCGGGGCGUGUCCGGGCCCGUGGACGCUCUCCCGGUUCCCGGUCCGGGACUACGUCUCCCAUGAUUCCCGGCAGCGGCCAUUUUUCCUGUAGUUCGAGACCGGUCCGGGAGGACUCGGUCUCCCAUGAUUCCCGGCCUGCAGGCCCGGGCUCCUUCCUUCCUGCCUGCCUGCCUGCCCGGGAAAUACAGACAGGACGCUCGCCCAGGCUCGUAGCUGGCGGUCCCCGGGACCGGAACUGGGGUGCCUAGGGCUCCCGGGCCAGCGCAGGGGGUCUGAGCAGCUGGGAACAAACAAGCAGCCACCCAUCCAUUCCUUAGAGAAGUCCAUUUACAGGCAUUGCAGAUAGUGCAAAGGGAAGUCUGGAAACCACUUGCUGCAGCCUACCGAGAGCAGCUAGACAAGCCGGUGGUGCCGCACCCCUUCCAAAUAGGAGAAACUGUAUGGGUUCGCAGACACCAGACUAAGAACCUGGAACUUUGGUGGAAGGGGCCCUACACUGUUCUCCUGACCACGCCAACGGCCCUGAAAGUUGACAGCAUUGCAGCCUGUAUCCACGCCUCCCACGUCAAGGUGGCCCACGCUACUGGAGAAGCGGAGCCGAUUGCGACUCCAGGAUGGAAAGUCCAGUGCACCCAAAAUCUUUUAAAGAUAAGACUUACCCGUGGGGCCCCUUGAUCAUUAUAUGGGCCCUGCUGAGGCUGGGAAUGGCGACCCAAGAGGGGAGCCCACAUCAAGUGUACACUCUGACGUGGCAAGUCCAGUCCCAGAGCGGAGAGAUUGUUUGGGAAAUUCAGGGCAACCAUGCACUUAACACCUGGUGGCCCACUCUAACACCUGACUUCUGCCAGCUAGCCGCGGGGCUGGAUUCCUGGGACAUUGCCGAUGCAGACCAUUCUAAACUAGACACCACCAUGGAACCCACCUCAGGAGGCCAAGGUGUAGAAGGCUGCUCCAGCCCUAGAAGAAGAUGCAUAUUAGCAGGAGCAUACUUUUUCUUAUGUCCCAAGGACGGUAGAACUAAAGCCCAGGCUUACAAAUGUGGGGGAUAUGAAAGGAUGUUCUGUGCAGCAUGGGGUUGUGAGACAACGGGGGAUGCCUACUGGGGCCCCCGAUCCAGUUGGGACAAGAUAAGGGUCACCCGGGGCUGGGAUCGGCCACCAUUAGAAUGGUGGCCGAACAACUACAAAGGGGGAUGUGGGGACCCCUCCACUAAGAAAGGCUGGGGUAACUUCCAAUGCUCUAAUGGAACUUGUCUGCCCCUCAGAAUUGACUUUACGGACUCAGGAAAAAGAGCCACAGAAUGGCAGCAGGGCUACACCUGGGGCCUCCAAUGGUACAGAAUAAAUAGGGGACUAACUUUCAAAAUCAAACUUAAAGUAGAAACAACGACCCACUCUGUAGGCCCCAACCCAGUCAUAGGGGACCAAAAACCACCCUCCCAAUCGACAUAAGCCUAACCCCCAGCAGCAACCCACAACACCUCCCUGACCCCCUCCACCAAUACCAGUACCAGCAAGACUCUUGUUACCGCCUUGCCUUCCCAUCGCCCUGGGACGGGGGAUAGGCUGCUUAACUUGGUACAAGGGGCCUAUUUAGUUCUCAAUUUUACCAACCCCAGUAAAACCCAGGAAUGAUGGCUAUGCCUGAUUUCGAGUCCCCCUUACUAUGAAGGAGUGGCCGUCCUAGGUAACUAUUCUAAUCAGACCUCUGCACCCCUUAGCUGCACUUCCUACCCUCAACACAGAUUGACCCUGUCAGAGGUCACUGGAAAGGGGCUCUGUAUAGGAAAUGUCCCUAUAACCCACCAGGCUUUGUGUAAUUCAAUCCAGAAGGUGUUUGCUGGAUCUUAUUACCUAGCUGCCCCCAAUGGAACUUAUUGGGCAUGCAAUGCCGGCUUGACCGGUUAGUGCCCUUGAAUAAUCACUGACCUCCCUUUCGGAGGUGGUCUUCCAGAAUAGGAGAGGAUUGGACAUGUUGUUCCUACAGGAAGGAGGACUGUGCGCAGCCCUCAAAGAAGAAUGCUGCUUCUAUGCAGACCACACCGGGCUGGUAAGGGACAACAUGGCAAAACUUAGGGAAAGGUUAAAGCAGAGACAAAAGCUGUUUGAAGCACAACAAGGAUGGUUCGAAGGAUGGUUAAUAAGUCUCCCUGGUUUACCACUCUAAUAUCCACCUUGAUGAGUCCUUUGAUUAUCCUCCUUUUGAUACUCCUGUUUGGACCCUGCAUCUUGAACCGCUUGGUCCAAUUUAUGAAGGACAGACUAUCUGUCAUUCAAGCAUUAGUAUUGACCCAUCAAUAUCAAAGAUUACAACAACAGGAGACUGAGAUCCCGUAACUACUUUGAGUAAAAGAUUUUACUCAAUGAUAUAAGAAAAUGGGGGAAUGAAAGACCCCCCAGCCCUGCUACAUUGCCUAAACCCAGCUUAGCCGCUGUAACACCAUUUCGCAAGGCCUUUACAUAAACAAGUAUAGGUUCAGGGCAAGGUCAGUGCUCUUAGGCUGACAAACAGGAUAUCUGUGGUCAGACAUCUAUCUGGCUUGGGAGGGGAACGGAAAAUUCUGGGGAAAACCACAUGCACCCUAGAUAGAGCCAAGUCAGCUAUUAUCAGAUCUUCAUGUCCCUGAGGAACUUGUCCCCAAGUGAACCCAUCGCCUCAUUCAAACUGACCAAUGAAAUCCCUGUAACCAUCCAUCUGCUUCUGUACGCUGCUUCUGCCUGCCCUUUUUCCUAUGAAAAGACCCUUCCCCAGUCUGCAGGCGCGCAAGUCCUCCGAAAGACUUUGCCGCCCGCAGGUACCUGUGUCCAUCCAAUAAACCUC